AGGAAGGGAAAGAGGGCGGGCCAGCGGUUCGAGCCGCCAGGGCGUCCGCUUGGCGGUCUUGCUGCGAGGGAAGCCGGGUCCCUGGCCGGGGCCGGGCGCGAGGCUGUGGGCGACUUGCUUUUCAGUGUAGCUCGCGCCGGAGGAGCCCACGUGCCGCCCAGGGUUUAGCCGCCGCGAUGAGAGGGGCGGGUUCCGCGCUGGCCGCGCCGGUUAGGCGCCUCCUCUUUCCUGUCUCGUGAGGCUCGGGCCUAACCGGUGGCUUUCCGCUGCCGGACUGGAGAUGUGCUGGCGACCGUGACCUGGGGUCAACCACCUUGGUCUUCUGUUUGCUUCGUGGUACAGCUGGAGGCACCACUCUCUCCGGGAAAGGGCGAACUCUGUUGGAGAAACUGUUCAGCCAGCAAGAGAACGGGCCUCCAGAAGCAGAGAAAUUUUGCUUAUGGAUCAUUGCCAUGGGUCUUCUACUUCCUUUUAGUGACUGCUUCAGGGAACCAUGUCAUCAGAAUGCCCAGUCAAGUUCUGCUCCAUUUGAUUGCUGGUGAUUAAACCCAGUGGUGCUCCACCGAACUAUAUAUCCUCAGCACCCCAUCACCCCCCACCCCUUUUUUUGGAGACAAGUGGGAGUGUGGGAGGAGGAAGCUGUUCACCUCUUGGAAGCCAAGAACAGAGGGAGAGAAAGGGGCCAGGAUCACACCACCCCCUGAAGGGCGAGCCUGCAGUGCCUGACUCUCUUCCCUUAGGCCUACCUCCUAAGGGCCUGCCACAGCCUGGAAACCAUAGGCCACAAGACCAACGUUUGAGAUCCAAACCAUAACGGUGAUGAUCCUGAUAGAAAAGAAAUGAUGCCUGCUGUGGUUUUGAUGUGCACUUCUCUAAUGGCUAGUGAUUGUAAAUAUCUGUUCAUGUAAUAAUUGAUCUUCUUUGGGGAAACUUACAUUAUUUUUAAAGGCCCACCAAAACUUUGAUCUAAUUAUUAAGAUUAUCACCUGCCGUCCAAUCUGAUAUGACCAAUCUCAACUCCAAGGCAGUUUUUAUUUUAUUUGUUUGGUGCUGGGGUUGAAACCAGGUCCUCAGACUUGCUACACAUAUUCUCUACCACUGAACUAUUCCCCAGCCCCAGUAGCAAAGUUUUAAUAGAUUCUUUUUUUAAAAGUUUUCUAAUUGUCAAUGGACCUUUAUUUUAUUUAUUUAUUUUUAUGUGGUGCUGAGAAUUGAACCCAGUACCUCACACAUGCUAGGCAAGCACUCUACCACUGAGCCACAACCCCAGCCCCUUUAUAGAUUUUUAUUUGUAGCUUACUGCAAAUGGUAAUAUAUUUAAUACAUGGCAAGUUAAUGAUAGAAUUGUGCAUCAGAAUAGUCUAACAUUGCCAUAAUGGUGUAAAAUAUGAGUUAAAAUGGAAAGAAUGGGAAUGUUCAAGGUAAAAAUAUAAUUUUACCAUUGACUUAAACUAAUCAGUUGCACACGGAUAAAAUGGGAAGAUCUAAUUUGACCUCAGUAAUAAUAAAUGCUCAAGUUUAAUUGGAAUGCAUGUUGAAUUAGGCCAACUGUAUGGUUUAGUCUAUUUUCAGAAUUUCACUGCAGUUUGCACUAAUAAACAUACAGCUACUCUAUCACCAAAAAUGAGAAAUUAAUGCAUUCUGUAUCAAUAUUUUAUAAACGUUCCUGGUAGCAUACUUUAAGAGGACUACUGACAACUGAGUUUUAAAAAGUGGAACUACAAAUGUAGUAAAGGUUCUGGGAAUCUUGUCCAAAGAGGAAUAUAUUUAGUGUGAAAAGGAAAGGCUGAGGAGAUGUAUGACCCCUGACUUCAAAUGUUAAACCUAAAAAAUACAUUUCUAGGCUACUUUUAUUUAAAAUGUUUCAUUUUGUAAUAAUUUCAUUCUUUAAAAAAUAGCACAGAUAAUAGGGUGCUGGUGUAUUAUUCACCUAGCUUUCCCAAAUGCCUUUCCUAACCUUAGUAAAAUUAUCAAAACCAGGAAAUUGACACUAAUUCAAUACUAUUAACUUAUGUAUAGUUAUUAUUCAAGUUUUGCCAAUAUCCCCUUAACUUCCAUUUCCUGGUCCAGAAUCACACACUUAGUUGUCUUAUCUCAUUAAUGUUCCCCUCUCUGGGAUAGUACCUUAAUUUUUGUCUUUCUUGAUCUUGAUCCUUUUUAUGAGUACUGGACAGUUAUUUUAGAAUGUCUUUCAAUUUGGAUUUGUCUAAAAGUUCUUCAUGAGCUGGGUUUGGUGGGUACACCCAUAAUCCCAGCUGUUGAGGAAACUGAGACAGGAAGAUUGCUUAAGUCUAUGAGUGGGAUGCCAGCCUGGGCAACAUGGCAAGGUUUGUCUCAGGAAAAAAAAAAAUUUCCUUUAUGACUAAAUUCGGGAGAUGAUGCUCAUCACAAAUACCAUGAAAAUGAUGUGGCCUUUAACAAUAUAUCUCAUCACAGAUGAUAUUAACUUUGAUUACUUGAUUAAAUGUCUGCCAUUUUUUCAUUUUUUUAUCUUUACUGUAAAAUUAAUAUUUGGAGUGUUUCUGUUUUUGUUUUCCAUAUGGAAAGUACUUUCAGACUUUGCAAAUAUCCUAUUUCUCAUAAUACUCUUACCCAGUGAUUUUAGCAGCCCUCAAUGAUUUUUGCCUAUAAGCAUUACUGGCAUGAUAUUUGUCAAAUGGUGAUGUUUCUAUUUUCAUUAUUCAAUGUUGUUAGUUGGAAUUCUGUAAGGGAUGAGAUGUCCUUUCUGACUCUUUAGUCAUUUACUUAUAUCAGGAUGAACUUAAGAAUUUUUAUUUUACUCAGUGGAUUUUCCUCCACUUCUGUCAUUGUUGUGUUCCUCAUACCAACUACAUUUGACCUCUGCAAACUCCUUCACCUUGGCUUCUGUGUCCUUUGUCUUAUCGCUAUUAUAUUUCAGGGUAUUUUCUUUUUUCUGUCACCAUAAGAUGUUCUGGAUUCAUAUUGUAUUUCAUUGCCCUUGCUCUGGAUUCAGUCAUUUUUCUGAAGAUAUCUGGUUCUUUUUAUUGGAGAAUAAUUAGUUUAGGUAUCAAAAUACAGGCACUAAAUGUGCUUAAGUCUCUGAAGUGCCUUUUCAUAUUCUCAAAGGACAGAACUAGGAAAUAUAUAUUAUAGUUUGAUAUCUAGAUUUGUGUGUAUUUUUGUUUACUGCUAUUCAGUAACUAGCACAAGUUGAGCACAAGAUAUAUAUAUAGAAGGGAUUCUCACUUGGUAGAAAAUUAGACUAGAUAACCUAGGGACUCUCCAAUCUCAUAAAUCUGUUAUGUUCUGAUUCUGAGAAAGAUAAGCUGGAGAAUUAUACCAAAUAAACAUACUCUCUGUAAUGUUCAUAAUAAGAAAAAUGCAAAAAUCUUGGGAGCAGAAAGCUUUAAUUAUCAAAACCAGUGAAGGGAGUUAAAGGCCUUAAAGUUCUUUUAUUCAUUUUGACGUGACUUGCAGAAGGCUUCAUCAGUAAACCUAUGGUGAAAAAAGAAAAAAAGCAAAUGAGGAUAUUUCCUUUCCUGGUGUUCUAACAUAAAUAUGCUUUCUAUCCAUUAUUUUUUACUUUACAUAGAAGUGAUAUAAGAACAGUGUUUCUGCUAUAAUACCACAUGUACUUUAUAUUCUGCAAAAUAGAAGCCAGAAAAAGUAGACUAGGUUAGAGCCUUCUAAAUUUAUGGAAUUUUAUAAGUACUAACAGAAAAAGCAGCACUCUAAAUAAUUAAUUAAAUCUGCAUCAGCAUUUCCAUCUACUCUCAUAGUCAGUUCCUAAAAUCCUUUAAAAUCUAGUGUUUAUGCUUCUUAUAUUAGAGAUAUUAGCUUUUAGUUCAUUUGAAUAAAAAUUCAACAUAUUAUCCAGAGUACAGUGCUUUCCCCUAUGUAGCUUCUUCAGCAGCUCUACUCAUGAACUUGUUAGAUAGUUCUCCAUCAUGGGAACCAUAGAAGUUCUUCUUGAAGCCACUAAACCAGUUACUACUUAGAUUAAUGGAAGGCACUUCUGUAGACUUUUAACCAUUUUUUAUAAAGGUGUUCAUGUAUUGCUAAGACUUUGUUCUUAAAUUGCAAGAAAGCUUGUCUUUGAUUUUUAAGAAAAUGAAUGUACUGGGGGAAAACAGUCAAGUUGGAUUCAUACAAUUUCUGCAUUAUAAGGACAUCAUUCCACUGUUUACUAUUAUUUAUGUAUAAGAUAUAUCUUUAUGUUAAAGAAGCACAUGCUGUAGCAGUAAUCAACCAACAAUAUGCUGAGUGAUUGCUAGUAUGUGUACAUCUCAGUGACUAUGUUUAACCAGAGUUGAUAUUUUGUACAUGUGUAUUUUUAUAGUCUUAUAUGUUUUUGAUAACACUGUAUACACAUAUCACUUGUUGAAUUUGAAUAAAUGGUGGUUUCAUGAAGUAUUUUAGACUUUGGGUCUCACAGAGGCUCUUUUCAGUAGUAGUAGUUUUGUGUAGAGUUCUACAGUCUUUUAAACUCUUUCCCUUUUAUUCCUAUGCCUUUAUCCAUUCUGAGUCCCCAACUGUGGGGUAGGUUUCAUAAAAUCUUUUGAAGAAACACACGAUUCCUGCUCUUUACAGGUAGGAAAUAAAUUGGAAGCAUUAUAAGACAAAACAUAAUCAAUUGAUAGACUGCUGUACGUGGUUGUAAAUACUAGGCUUGCUUGUGCUGUCUCCUAGCAUUGCCCAAGUUUUCAAAAAGCACUUCCAGUUUAAGAUGUUGCUGAUCUCCCCUGUCAUAUCAAGUUGUGAACUGAUCUUUUCCCUUGCUGACUUUCCCACUUGACUGAAAGGAAAGGAUUCUAUAAAUUUACUUUAUCAGUGCAUGGUUUCUAUAUUUGGAGUUACCCCGAAAGCUCAAUUCAAGAAAGUUUAGUGAUAAAAUGAUCAGGUUGUAAGAAGUUUAAUCUAAUCAGUGUAUUAAUGCCCUGAUAGGAAUUAACGUGGUAAUAACUGUAGGCAUGUAUGGUAUGGCUGGAGGAGGUGGGUCCCUGCGGGCGUGUCUUUGGUGUUUAUAUUUUUUCCUAGUGACUGGAGCUCCAGCUGACUUGCUCUCCCUCUUGCUCUCUUUCUCUCUCCCUCUCCUCCCUCCUUUCUGAUGUGAUGUCUUGAGCCACUUCCCUCCACCACACUCUUCUGCCAUGAUGUUCAGCUUCACCGCUAGCCUCAAGGAAUGGAGUCAGCCUUCUAUGACUGAGACCUCUGAAAUUGAGCACCCCAAAUUAAAACUUCUCUUCCUAUAUUUGUUCUUGUCGGGUCUUUUGGUCACAGUAGUGAAAAAGCUGACUAAUAUAAGGAAUAUCAGUACUACAAAAUCUUGCCUCAAGAAAUAAUGAAAAUUCUUCAAGAGUUUGCAUGUUGUGUUUCUUUCUGUUCAAAUUUGCCUCUUUUUGAUGUAGAUGUUUCAGGGUGGCAAGUGGCUAGGGAACUCUUAUUCUUCAAUAUUGUAUUACUUAUUAAAAUUACUAAGUAAUUAAAAAGUUAAUUAAGAAAAAUAUAUUUCUUCAUAUAUAUUUAGUUGCUGAGGAAUGAAAAAGAUGGAAGAAAUUUAGAACAGAAGAAUUUUAGGCAGAAAAUUAUUGAAGCUUAUCUAAAUUAUAUAAUAAAGUAAGUGCUCCUAUGUAGAACAUGGACAUCCCCAUUUAGAUUAAAACAGAAACAACCUAGUGUGGUGGUGCACUACUGUGAUUCCAGUGACUUCUGAGGCUCAAGCAACUU